CUCAGGGAGGGGCGGGGCCAUCUGCCGUGACUCCCAGAAGUCUAUUGAAGGAGAUACCAAACCAUUAAGCAGCAAGUAACAAAGUAACAAAAUGCAGCUUCUAAAUGAAGGUGUUUAUUAUUAAGGCCCUGUGUGCAAAAAAGUGCCUCCCUGCAGGUUAUAACAUAAAUGAAUUGUGGUGUUUCACCUUUGGAAAGCUGAGUUCAAUAGCUACACCCAGACCUGAUUACUGCCACACCUGUUCUCAAUCAAGAAAUCGCUUAAAUAGGACCCGCCUGACAAAGAAAAGAAGAUCCUCAAGAACCAGACAUCAUGCCACAAUCCAAGGAAAUUCAGGAACAAAUGAGAAACAAAGUAAUUCAGAUCUCUCAGUGUGAAAAAGGUUAUAAAGCCAUUUCUAAAGCUGUGGGACUCUAGCGAACCACAGUGAACGUCAUUAUCCACAAAUGGUAAAAACAUGGAACAGAGGUGAGGUGAGCCUUCCCAGGAGUGGCCAACCAAGCCAAAUUAGCCCAAGAGUGCAGCGAUACCUCAAGAGGCCUCAGAAGACCCCAGAACAUCAUCCAAAGAACUGCAGGCCUCACUUGCUUCACUUAAGGAGAAUGUCCACCCAUCUGUUCACGACCUCAGUCUGAAGCACACUUGGGUUCUGCAGCAGGACGAUGAUCCAAAACACACCAAGUCCACCUCUGAAUGACUUAAGAAAAACCAAAUGAGGACUUUGGAGUGGCCUAGUCAAAGUCCGGAGUUGGAAUCGAUUGAGAUGCUGUGGCAUGACCUUCAAAAGGCAGUUCAUGCUCAAACCCUACAAAGUGGCUGAAUUAUAACAAUUCAGCAAAGAUGAGUGGACCAAGAUUCCUCCACAGCGCUGUAAAACACUCAUUGCCAAUUACUACAAAUGUUUGAUUGCAGCUGUUGUUGCUAAGGUUGACCCAACCAGUUAUUAGGUGUAGGUGACAAUCACUUUUUCACACAGGGCCAUUUUGAAUUGGAUUCUUUUCCCCUAAUAAUAAACACCUCCAUUUACAAAUCGCAUUUUGUGUCAACUUGUGUUAUCUUUAUCUCAUAUUUAAAUUUGUUUGAUGAUCUGAAACAUUUAAGUGUGACAAAAAUAGAAAACAUAGAAAAUCAGGAAGGGGGCAAACACUUUUUCACACCACUGUAAAUAAAGGCUGAAGAAAUUGUGUUUUCACAGAGCAGCCUCAUUACUGAAGCACAAAUAAAUUUUCAUUCAUUCAGAUGACUGGACAUCAAUUGAUGGUACAGACUGUUAAGUUUAGUAGAAGAGCCUCGUGGCUCUGAGCUCAUCCACCUUCUGCUCCGCCUUCAGCCCCUUACAGCUGUUAUCAGCUUGCAGGUCUGUUUACCUGGCCUCGGGUCACUGACAGCCAGCCGCAUGUUUGGUCACUGGAGACAGAUAAGGCGUCCACCUCCACCUACCUAACUCAAGACUUUAUGACUCCCAGUAUGUUUCUGAGUUCUGUGUGUGUGUGUGUGGUGUGUGUCUGUGUGUUAUUGUGGUGAUAACCCCUGUCCCAAACACAGGCAGGGGCCGGCAUUCAGUGUUUACAAGGGCUUGGAUCAAAGCACCCUCAGUGUGCAGCCAGUCAGCAGACCUGACGUUUGGUCAUACAUUAACUGCAGGCAGGCUGUAAGAGUGUGUGUGCAUGUGAUGGUGUGUGUUCCCAGUCAAUAAUCCUGAACUUAACAAGGCCUGAAGUACUUCUGUUGAGUAAGCACUUCUACUUUCUACUGUAAUUAAUGAGAAAACGUAAAAUUAAAAAUAAUCUUGAGAACUACAUCUUUUUUUUUUUCAUUAUUUUAUUAAAUUAAUUACCAUAUCCCUUUACUUCAUUAUUAUAGACCAUACAUUUAAUGAAAGUGUCAAGGUGUAGGUGGCGUAUAUUAGCUCCCCACAGCUAAUAUACUGCACAAUAUACUCUAUUCUCUCCCUAAAGUAUUAUUAAAUGUAUCAACACAUGUAAUAAUGUGUCAUAACUCGAGAUUUUAGCAGAGACAUCCUCUUUACUGAAGAUUUGGCUUAAAACUUUCUUUUUUGAAAAAGUAAAGGUUAGGGUUGAAUCAGGUAACACUGAACCCUCCCUUUGUUACGCUUCAACAUGAUGCACAGAGUGUUUCUUCAAACACUAUGUAUUUGUACACAGCUUUGCAUUCAAUCAUUAGUUAAAAUUCAUCUCUGGCUCUCUUCCACCGUGUCUUUUGUUCCGUCUCCCUUCACCCCCAUCUGGUCACACAGAUAGCUGCCCAUCCCGAGCCUGGUUCUGCAGGAUGUUUCCUCCUCUUAAAA